rnacentral:lncRNA from 1 species
ACGGAUUUAGUUUCGGUCCCUAAUUUUUUUUUAAUAAUAUUUACAUUUUGCUUGAUAUAUAUUUCCAUAAAAAUCAUCACACUUUUUUCAAAACAGUUAACAUGGUUAAAAUAACACUUUUUAGAAACAUAUUUUAAAGUGAAUUUAAUUCAGCAUUGUCAACUACAUAACGCUUUUUGUCAACUACAUAACGAUUCACUGCGUUAUGUAGUUGACCUAUUUG